UUAUUUUGGAAUGUUAAUUGUUUAUGCUGGAGUAGUAUUAGUUAUGUUCUUGAAACUUAAAGAAUUUGGCGGUAUCUCAUUCCGUCCAGAGGAAUCUGUCUCGUUAUCGAUAGUCCGCGUUGGAUCUUACUUAGUUGCUUUGGUUUGUAUACCGCCGUUUAUUGAUUAUCUUUUUAGAGUUUGUGUAAUUUUCUUGAUUCUAUAUUUUGAUAUAUUUCAGGUCAAGGUGCAGCUUGUUUCUAAGUGAAUGAUGGAUUACAUUGUUAUUUGUUUUUGGAUUGUUUGUUUUGAUAUGGGCAUGAAAUUGGAUUUGGUUGUAAUAGUUUGUAGAUUGUUUCUAUGAUAUUGGUUCUGGGAUAUGUACACAUCGCCCGUCGCUCU
rnacentral:rRNA from 1 species